rnacentral:rRNA from 1 species
GAUGAACGCUGGCGGCGUGCCUAAUACAUGCAAGUAGAACGCUGAAGCUUGGUGCUUGCACCGAGCGGAUGAGUUGCGAACGGGUGAGUAACGCGUAGGUAACCUGCCUCUUAGCGGGGGAUAACUAUUGGAAACGAUAGCUAAUACCGCAUAAAAGUCGAUAUCGCAUGAUAUUGAUUUGAAAGGUGCAAUUGCAUCACUAAGAGAUGGACCUGCGUUGUAUUAGCUAGUUGGUGAGGUAACGGCUCACCAAGGCGACGAUACAUAGCCGACCUGAGAGGGUGAUCGGCCACACUGGGACUGAGACACGGCCCAGACUCCUACGGGAGGCAGCAGUAGGGAAUCUUCGGCAAUGGGGGCAACCCUGACCGAGCAACGCCGCGUGAGUGAAGAAGGUUUUCGGAUCGUAAAGCUCUGUUGUAAGAGAAGAACGAGUGUGAGAGUGGAAAGUUCACACUGUGACGGUAACUUACCAGAAAGGGACGGCUAACUACGUGCCAGCAGCCGCGGUAAUACGUAGGUCCCGAGCGUUAUCCGGAUUUAUUGGGCGUAAAGCGAGCGCAGGCGGUUAGAUAAGUCUGAAGUUAAAGGCUGUGGCUUAACCAUAGUACGCUUUGGAAACUGUUUAACUUGAGUGCAGAAGGGGAGAGUGGAAUUCCAUGUGUAGCGGUGAAAUGCGUAGAUAUAUGGGGGAACACCGGUGGCGAAAGCGGCUCUCUGGUCUGUAACUGACGCUGAGGCUCGAAAGCGUGGGGAGCAAACAGG